GCAGUUGAAAUUAUCCAAGAAUUAUUUAAAAAUAAAUCUUUUGAGGUGGCUUGAUCUGGACCGUGGAUUUCAAAAGACAGAAGAUGUAGACCGUUGAAGAAACAGAUAUACAACGGAUCAGCUCAGACCGACCCAAGUCAACGACUCGUUUUGCAGCGGCGGUGGCCCGACCUUUUCUCCUCCGUCCAGCCACCUCCAGACGUCACACUGGAGCAGUUCGACUCGUCUCGGAGGCGCGAAUCAGAGCGCGGUCGCUCCUACUCGAAAGACCGGCGACGGUGGUAAGAAGAAUAAGCCCGAAAGCUUUUCGUGUUGGCCGGCGGAUUCUCUAAUGUCGGCCACUUCUCGGCUACGGACGGGUAGCGGCAGCUUCCUCUCGACCUCGCCGAUCUAUCUAUGGUGUAUGUUUUUCCAGAUGAUAAGGUAUGAGAAAGAAUCAAAGCCAGUAAGCUUCGGUGCUUCUUGCUUUUCCGGCGACUUCGACGAGUAAGGUAUGAAAUAUCAUCUAAUCAGCAAGUUAUAACCUGAGAGUAUGAUUUUGAUUGUUGAUUAUGCUUGAAUUCAAGAAUUGGAGGAGUAAUUGAACUCGAAAAUGCGAAUGGUUACUUUGAUUUUCACCAAAGGCAUGAGAGAGAAUCGAAGGGGAGAAGAAUUUUGGAAUUCCCGGCGAGUUUCCAUGUUUUUCGCCGACCAUUCUGUUUUAGUUUGCUUGUAAUUAUUGUCUUUUGAAGAUUAUGCUUUCUGGGAUUUGAUUGUUUCAGUGUGUAAUUGCUAGAUUUGGGUACUAUGA